UCCGAGUUGACCCCGGCAGUCUCCUGCGAGUCCCCGCCAUUACGCGCUGGCAACACAGGACAAGGGUUGCGCUCGUUGCGGGACUUAACCCAACAUCUCACGGCGCGAGCUGACGACAGCCAUGCAGCACCUGUGCUGGCCCCUUACGGAGCCCUGCUUUCACCCGCUUUAACUAGCAUGUCAAGCCUUGGUAAGGUUCUUCGCGUUGCGUCGAAUUAAGCCACAUGCUCCGCUGCUUGUGCGGGCCCCCGUCAAUUCCUUUGAGUUUUAGCCUUGCGGCCGUACUCCCCAGGCGGGGUGCUUAAUGCGUUAGCUGCGGCACGAACGGCGUGGAAUACCGCUCACACCUAGCACCCACCGUUUACGGCGUGGACUAC
rnacentral:misc_RNA from 1 species